rnacentral:rRNA from 1 species
ACGCACGCUGGCGGCGUGCUUCACCCAUGCAAGUCGCACGGAAAGGCCCUGCUUUUGUGGGGUGCUCGAGUGGCGAACGGGUGAGUAACACGUGAGUAACCUGCCCUUGAUUUUGGGAUAACUUCAGGAAACUGGGGCUAAUACCGGAUAGGAGCUCCUGCUGCAUGGUGGGGGUUGGAAAGUUUCGGCGGUUGGGGAUGGACUCGCGGCUUAUCAGCUUGUUGGUGGGGUAGUGGCUUACCAAGGCUUUGACGGGUAGCCGGCCUGAGAGGGUGACCGGCCACAUUGGGACUGAGAUACGGCCCAGACUCCUACGGGAGGCAGCAGUGGGGAAUAUUGCACAAUGGGCGGAAGCCUGAUGCAGCAACGCCGCGUGCGGGAUGACGGCCUUCGGGUUGUAAACCGCUUUCGCCUGUGACGAAGCGUGAGUGACGGUAAUGGGUAAAGAAGCACCGGCUAACUACGUG